rnacentral:rRNA from 1 species
UACGAAGGUGGCGAGCGUUAUUCGAAAUCACUGGGCUUAAAGAGCAUGUAGGCGGCUUGCCAAGCGUCGUGUGAAAUCCCUCGGCUCAACCGAGGAACUGCACGGCGAACUGGCAGGCUUGAGGCAGGUAGGGGCGAGUGGAACUCUUGGUGGAGCGGUGGAAUGCGUAGAUAUCAAGAGGAACGUCGGAGGCGAAGGCGACUCGCUGGGCCUGACCUGACGCUCAGAUGCGAAAGCCAGGGUAGCGAACGGGAUUAGAUACCCUUGUA